GAGAACGGAAGUCCUUACAUGAGCACUUCUUCCGGAAAAGCACACCCGCGCACACACAUUGACCAGAGGAGAGCAAGACCGCGCACAUCAACGUGCUUCAAAAUCGUCGGCAGCGCUGCGUAGGAUUUGUUCGAGAAUGCCUCCAUAUAAGUGCAUUUUUGGAAGUGAGGGAAAGUUUACCGUGUUUAGCUUCCCCAAGAACCCAGUGUUACAUGAACAGUGGAUGCAGUUUGUUUUUCCGGGGAAGCAACGGAGUUUAUCAAGUGUGUUUGUGUGUUCUGGUCAUUUGAGUGACGAAUGUUUUUUAAACAAGGCCAAGGUUGACAUGGAGACGCCAUUAAAACAUGGAGUCGUCCCUGUGAUAAAAGACCCCAUUCAUGUCACUCUGUGGAAUCUUGAAGGGGAGAUUGAUUGUGUCCGCUCUUCCUCGGUUCAGUUUCAUCCUAUCUGCCCUUCAAAACGUGUGUUGUGAUUCUCUCUUUGAGUUCCUCCACACUCUUUUUAAUGAUGGCAAGCCCAUAAGUAGCUGUGUGGUGUCCACAUUGAAAAUCUAUCAGCACAGAGGCAGACAUCUGUUAGAUAGAUGUUCAGAACAUAAAGGUAAGUGUCUCUCAGGUUGACAGAGGUGAGUAAUCGAGCAUCAUCAGGGAUGUGGGGACAACACUUCUGGCUGUCAAUUGAGAUUCGCUUUAGGUGUUUAUCUUCCAGAUUCUUACAAUUUCUCUAAGAUAAGACAGAAGGAAGUUAAACCCACUUGCUCUAAAUUGCUCUCCUAUUCUGAAAUCUAUUACACAUGUUGGCAGUUUUCUCCAUUUCACAGCUAGCCUGCUCUACUAUAGAGAAGGAAAAAGAAUGAGCCUAAGAAUGGGCAAAUUGAGACCACUAACCUACGGUUGCAGUUGCCAUUUAUUUGCAUUAUAUGUUAUAAAAAAGUAAAAAAAAAAAAAAAAAAAAGCUCUUUAUGAUCCUACAUGAAAGCACAGAAAAUGAACAGCCACACACUUGUUCAGCUUAGGGUUAUCUCAAUAUCACAAUUUUCACUUUAGUACAAUACCAGAAUCUGAUACAGAGGUAAUGGCACUAAAUGAAACCAUAGGUGCCAUAUCAGCAGCCUCAAAGAUAACACUGCAUGAAACUACACAGUAUAUAUUGCUUGUUUUCAUAAACAACACUUCAUACUCUGUAAAACUGAUACAUUGAUGACUGUAUUUUUUUUAUUGAACUAUUUUUUAACUACUAUUAUAAAGUGCAUCCUAUUAAAAAUAAACAAAUUGCAUAGAAAAAGUGGCAGAUCUAUUAGAUUGCAUUUACACUCCAAGACUGGCACAGAUCUAUUUUGACAUACGGUAUCAGGUUUUUAGUUACCAUCCAUUAUUAUGGUUAUCAUUGUCAAUCAUUGCAGUUUCUGAUUCAGUGCACCAUUUAAAUAAGGCUGUCAAUCCAGAAGCUUUGCAAUGUGCAGUUAAGCAGCAUGCCAAAUGUAUGUUAUAUACAAAAAGUGAGCAAAAAGAGCUCCUGUAAGAAUUACAGAAGCUCAGACAUUUUUAUCUUCUGAGACACAAUAGACACACAGUGCAUUAACAUACAGACAUCUGUUCCCACAUUUCAGUGAGAGAAUAUGAGGGAAUAGUUGUUGUAGUGCAAAAGAGCAAUUUUUUUAUUUUUGUUUUUAUAUAAAAAUACAUUAAAUCAGUCCUGGAGCCAUCUAGAAAAGUAUUGGGUUGCUAUUUCAAAUCUGAAGAAGAUACCAUGAAAAAUUAGAUUCCUGCAACCAUUUUUCUGAGACUAUGUCUAGCCCCCCAAAUAUGAAAAAAAAAAAAUAUUUACCAACUGUAUAGAAGGGUUCUACAAACUAUUGUAGUCAUUUAACAUACCACUGCACAGUUUUUAAAUUAUAAUCUAUCAAACUGCCCAGCUAUUUCACUUCAGCACCGCAUUUCACACACACACAUACGCAGCGCACACGUGCGCAAAAGAGGAUUAGAGCAGAUGAAGUUGUAACACUUUGACUCGGAUAACUCAUUAAAUCCAUGAAAUGAAAGAGAUAGAAAAUGAGGAGUUGGUGUCCUUCACAUUUAAUGGCUGCUACAAGGCAACGCACUCUUCUCAUUCAUGAGAGAUUAACUCUUUCUUGGUUACAAAUAAAGUAAAGACAAAAUGAUAACAAGACGGCAGAGCUAACUUAUCAUCCAUAGUGGUUUUCACGUAGCCCCUUCUCUUAAAGACUGAUCAUUUAACUUAUAACACACACGGUAACACUUUAGAAUACUGUUUCUUACUUACUACAUAACUAAUAAGGAAUUAUUGAAGAACUAACAGGUGAUUAAUCAUUAAGACUUAUCUCAUACUGUUAACUACUAAGGAAUAUAUGUUAAUUAAUCAGUAUGUAAUACAAUUUUUUGAUUGUGUCAAGUAACAGUUAGCUAAUCAAUAACUAAUGAAUUCUGGCAUACCUA